GCCGGGGUAGCUCAGUUGGUUAGAGCGUGGGACUCAUAAGCCCGAGGUCGUGGGUUCGACCCCCACCCCCGGUACCA
rnacentral:tRNA from 1 species